rnacentral:rRNA from 1 species
AGCGCAUACCUCGCGGUCGUGUUUUGGCCGUCGAGGGGUGUUGCGUUUCGGUGGAUCCGUACCGCUCGAAUUGCUGACCGCCUAAGUGAUUGCUUGAAUGCAGCCCCAAGGAGGGUGGUAGGCCCGUGUGGCGGCGCCUGUAAAAAGGUUGGAAGCAAUUUGGGCGGAGGGAUGUUUACCGUAGAGUCGGGUUGCUUAGUACUGCAGCCCUAAGUAGGUGGUAAACUCCAUCUAAGGCUAAAUACUACCACGAGUCCGAUAUUUGACAAGUACCGUGAGGGAAAGCUGAAAAGGACUCUGAAGAGAGAGUUCAAGAGGACGUGAAACCAUUAGAAGCUGAAACGGGUGGAACCGUGAAGGUGGAAAGAGGGGAUUCAGGCUGCUGGCAUGAGCAUCUGGCUUGGAGUUUUGUAGAGAGAUGGGACCCGGCGUACGAGUGAGUUGCCCGGGCACUCUUUGCCAGUUUGCUGGUGUGAGCGGGCUUAUUUCUCCCUCGAGUACUGGACGUGGCGACCCGCUGCCCGGACCCCGAGGUGCCCCCGGGACUGGUAGCCUAGACUCGAGAGGGUUUGGGUGAAGACCCGGUCGGGUUACUGAGUGGGUGCGAGCGGCGGUCACUGUGAGGAGGCGG